UUAUACACUUAAUAUAUUAUGUGUCAUGUUUGUUGGCGUUCGUCGCGUGAACGUUUCAUAAUUUCACAAUUACUAAUAUAUAAGAUUAAGAAAAAUAAUGUCUGAUAAGCGAAUAGAAUCGAUGCUCUUCGAUUACGGCACAACAAACCGUACUGACUAUAGAAAUGGCGAAAUUAGGCCACAAUCAAUUACUGUGUACAACGAAAAACCACGGAGAGCACCACCGAAGCUGCGUCCACUUAAAGACGUCCACACGCUUUCCGAUUGGAAGGCUGAAGCGAUAUCUUUCAGUUUGUUACAUAGACCGAAGCAGAUAUUGGGCACCGAUCCUAGGAUUGUUCAGCAGCCUUGCGAAAAACCUAAAGACACAGAAAGAGAAAUCGCUCAAAGGACCAGACCCCGCAUAGUGAUGACCCCGGCAGUCAGUAUGGACGACAUUGAAAAUCCAAGAGCCAGGGAUAUAUUAUGUAACGACAUGUACACUAGCGACACCAGCAAAGGACUAAGGGAAGCUGUAACUUCAUAUUUCAGUGUCAAGGCUCCUUUACCUGGAUUACCAGCUGCUGCCAACCCUGUAGCUUUGGCGAAACUGCAACCUCCAUACGUAUCUCCUGAGUGGCGCAUGGAAUCAGUUUCUUGGGAUGGAAAGCAAUUAAGAGCCCAUUGUGAUCCAAGUAAAGAAUUUUGGCUAGAUUAGUUAUAAAAUACAUCUAAUGAAGAAAACAAAAUACAGACUAAAAUUAAUCAAUAUCUCUAUUUGUGUCUAUAUCAUUAAAUUAGUGCAAACCGUGCGACGAGUCUGCUCGUGUGAGAGAGUAUCGAAAAUAUUCGAAAAAGUUGUAGACUCCAUUUCUAACAGUUUUCAAACAUCAUUACUGUGUUUUUAAUUUAGAAGAAUUAUAAUUUUUAAGCAUUUUAGUUUGUAGCAUAAUGUUUAAUUAUGGUUUAGUUUCUAGUUCUUAUUAAUAAAAAAAUAUAUUAUAGUA